UACGAAGGGGGCUAGCGUUGCUCGGAAUCACUGGGCGUAAAGCGCACGUAGGCGGCCUUUUAAGUCAGGGGUGAAAUCCUGGAGCUCAACUCCAGAACUGCCUUUGAUACUGGGAAGCUCGAGUCCGGGAGAGGUGAGUGGAACUCCGAGUGUAGAGGUGAAAUUCGUAGAUAUUCGGAAGAACACCAGUGGCGAAGGCGGCUCACUGGCCCGGUACUGACGCUGAGGUGCGAAAGCGUGGGGAGCAAACAGG
rnacentral:rRNA from 1 species